ensembl:lncRNA
GUUUAAAUUAGAGCGCAGCCUUUCACACUUGACAUUUAGUGUGGCACAGUCUAUCUUCACCUUAUUUCCACCUCGCCCCCUCCUGAAAGUCCACACCCCCUUGAGUCUUAUUAACACACACAGACUCUGCUCAGUUUGAACUGGAUUACUCAUUAGACUGCUUAAAUCAGCAUGACUUCAGUAAUGGUUUUAUGUCCUCUGAGAGAAAACUCAAAAGCUCCAGAGGCAGAUCCUGUAUUGUCAUUCCAGAUUAAAAUACAGAAAGAAUAGUGAAGUUCACUGCCUGAAUGUUGAAAUCUGAGGAGACAAAUAGACUGUCCGUUGAGGGUUCUCCUCUGGCAGUUCUGUCUGUGUUGUCUUUGUUCAGUGUGUUCUUGUUAGUGUUGUGUCUGACCACAUGGCUCUGUCUCUGUUUGUGUUUGCCAUGUGCUCCUCUUGUCCUGCCUCCUUGUUUCCCUUACCACGUCCCCUUGUUUAGUCCUUGUUGAGUGCUCUUUUAUCUGAGUGUUGUCAUAUGUUCUUCACGUCUCAGAUCCCUUUAUAUUGUGCUCCUUUUGCCUUUUGUGUUGCCAGUUCAUCUAACUAAAUACUGUGCAACUGUGUUCUUCCUUGUUGCAAUAGUCUGUAGUGUAUUGUUAAGCUAGUUCUACCUGUUUAUUCUAAUGUUGUUUUGUUCCUAUGUAUCCUUGCUCUAGUUAAGUAUCCCUUAGUGUUAUCUGCUUUAUCUUUAGUAUUUAGUUUCCCUUUUUCUUUCCUUAGUCAUUUGCCUUUAGACUUUCCCUUUUAACUAGUUCCUUUAGCUUUUCCCUGGCUUUAGUUUUAUGUUUUAAUUUAUGUUUUUUUAGUUAUUGUUUGGUUUUGGUUACCGCCUUCUGUCUUGUUGUGUCUUGUCCUGUGCGGUGGUGUGUCUUGUUUGUCUUUAGUCCUGUCCUGUGCUGCAGGCUGAGCUCCCGGGCUGCUCCCUGAAUCUGUAGCAGCAAGACCUGUGCCUGUGAGACCACGAGUGUGGAGUGGCUUGUGCUUCGAGUUCCUGUCAGGCCAUCGCUGCUAACCUCCGGCCUCCCUCUGCACUGCCACUACUGUUAUCCAGGGCUGGACUCAGCGGCUUCUCUCUCAGCAUAUCUGUCUUCGAGCCUCUUCCCAUCUUAUUGUUUGGACUGUAUUCACACCCUCCACACCUUCUCUUGUCGUGUCUUGUCAGCAGUAUUGUCAGUAAACCCGUGAUUACUCAUUCUGCAUUUAAAUCCUCUCUCACAGAAUCCCUGACACCUGUAGUUGGUAUUUAAAUCUUUCUGUCAUUCAUUACAAUAGGGACGUUCAGUCUGUGCAUUGAGGUAAAAUAAAACUCUGGUUAGAGUCAGAAUAAAAAUAAAAAAAGCACAGGUGAGUUAUAUUUCUCAAAACAUAUUUGCUGAAUAACCUGUUGUUUGAAUUGAUACUGUAUAUAUAUUUUCUCAUUCAUAGGGAUGGCAACUGCUUGGAUGUUGUGAGAGGAAAUUGGCUUCAGACGAUGGUAGUCUUGAAGUGUGAGGAACUACCCGAUCACCCUAACCAUCCAUUGUAUUAUCCACCAGCAAACCUUCUCUUUGAAAUGCUGUAAAUCAACCCUGAUCCUUCCAAAUCGUUUGACUGUAACAGGAAUGACUGGGAGAAGUCUGGGUCAAGCAGGAUGCAGCACCUUUCUCACGGUUAUGCUCCACUAAACCUCAUCGGACUAUCCUUUCUUGUCAGAUCUGUGAGAGGACAGGCUAAAAAUUGGCAUCCAGCCAACCUGAGGAAUACUCAUAAGUUUUGUUGUGCACCCUGGUUUGUUUGAUACCAGAAUUUGGUUCCGCUGAAUGAUGUGAACGCUGUUUUCUGAACUCAGGUGCGCAUAUGCAAAAUGUUCCUUGUUCCUGGAAUAGUCUACAUUAUGUUUUUUUCAGACCAACUGAAUCAUCAGUCCGAUUAAUAAUUUGAUUAUUAGGUUGAAUUUUAAAUGUAGACAGUGACAGGCCAAAUGCAUGAAGCUGGAAUUGAAAUGCCUUAUCUUUGAAGACGAAUUUCAGUGACAGUAUCUGUCUUUCAGAUUCUCUGUUACAAACCUCUAAAAGAAAUCACACUGUUUAUAGUUGUUUAUACAGUAAAAAAAAAAGCCAGUGAACAGAAUUUUUACAGAAUGUUUGUAUUAUGUAAUCACAUUUCUCUGUCACCUUAUUUCUAAAUGUGGUGUCAUGUUUUUCACCAUACAAGUUAAAUUUUUAGGUGACACUUUUGUACCAAUCAAAACAGGCCUGUAAAACUGUGCUGAAGGUUUCCGCUGGUAUUUUUUUAACAUUGAAGUCAUCAUCUGAAAGGUUUCCAUAGUUCUGUGGCAAGCCUGAUUAUUGUAUAAUUGUCACACACAUGGACAGUUUUGUUCCUGUUCCGCAUGUCAAUUUGGAUUCCCUUUGUUUUUUUGUUAUUAAAAGUCUGUUUUUGAGCAA